AUGGCUCUGGGCUGGAGCAAGGCUUUCCUUAGAGAAGCCAGUCCCCUUCCCCUUGCCCCCGCACUGCUGUCCCCCUGGGCCACGCUGCCCCCACAGCCUCUGCCUGCUGUGUGGAGGCAACGAGGGGCGGCCUGCUGCUGGUGGAGGCCGGGGGAGCGGCUGCUCUGGCUAGGAGUGGGACAAUUAAUGUCCUCCGUCAGGGCGGCAAGUCUCCAGACUUUGAGAAACAUCCCGGGGUUGGGCCGUGCCUGCCUGUUCCUGCAGUGGCUGAAAUACAGCCUUAUCCUGAGGGAAAUGGCGGUGAGAGGCGGCUGCCGGCUGGGAAAGGGGGGAGGCCUUGUGGCUGCGGAGAGCAGGAGCUGCUGCCGGCUGCUGUGGUGCGAAACGAAGAAGCACUUGUGUCCCAACUUCUUCAGGAGCUUAAAAAGACCUUCCUCUUGCUUCAGAGAUAAGAUUUCAGUGUAUGAAGAUCCUACUGGUGAUGCAAUUUUUCUGAUAAAUUCCAUGAGAGAACCGUCCACACAAGGAAAGUUUGGCCAGUCUUUCCCCACCCACACUGUCCUUUACGCCCCUUAGGCCUGUGCAGUUACUGGCUGUGUUACACCCAGCGUUUCAGGGGCUCCCUCUUCAGUCAUCCAGUUUGGAACAGCUUCUGCAGUACAUGGUGCGUUUCAGGAAAGUUGACAGAAGCAGAGACAUUUAGCCCUCCUGCUGCUACAUUCUUCCAUUAGAUGAAUGCAUUACCAUACACCCACCGUAAUCUGCUCUACAACAUUUAAUUUGCAAUGAAAGAAAAAAACAGGUUUUCGUACUGUUACUGCUUUCUGGAGCCAAGUCGUUUUGCAUUCUUAGAGUGAGUCUACUUCAGACAUAGCUGCCCCUCCUCUGUUGUAAGAAGCAGGAGCGUGCUGUAAGGGAACCCACUUCAUCUGUGCUCCCUAGUUUCUACCAGCCUCUGCGUGGGGAGUUGGCAGGUGUGCGAGGAGAGAAAAGAGCAUUCCUUCUUGCUUCAUAUACAUUUUAGUCUUUGUGCAAGUUCAGUGGAUUUAUCAAGUCAUCUACAGCCAAGAAAAGUGAACCCAAACCUUUUUGUUAGGGAAAAGACCAAAGAACAUGUUCACAAGUUUCUUCUUUUUAGAAGAGCUGUGAUUAAAAAUACCAUGGUUUUCCUGAAUCUGUGUUGCUGAAUAAAAACUCGUUGUAUAGUGGAGUAGCA
rnacentral:lncRNA from 1 species